CUUCGGUGUGAUUACGUAUCUUGUGCAGUAGAGUUAUGACCUUCCUGGUGUUAUCUGACCCUUGCCUCCCUUUGAUGAACCCCACCUGGUCGUUGUGUAUUAUGUGGGGUAGCACGGAUCCCAAUCUCUUGGCGUAUAUUUUUGCUAGUAACUUUGCGUCCGUGUUGAGAAGUGAUAUGGGUCUAAAGUUCUGUGGUGUUGUUGGUGUCUUGUUCGGCUUCGGAAGUGUCACUAUGUGUGCUAGCAAUAUGUCGUUAGGGAGAGAUUGGUUGAGUAUUGCUUCGUUAA